ACGGUGCUCGGUGGUUUCCCGCUUACCAGGCCGCCGGUGACCAGCUUCAGGAGCAGGGAGGCAACGAUGGCGCCAACGAGCUGUGCAACCCAGUAGAAGAUACCGGUAAGGAUGGUGAUUUGCCCGCCGAGGGCCAGGCCAAAGGUGACGGCGGGGUUGACGUGACCGCCGGAAAUGUUGGCGCCGACGGCAACGGCGACGAACAGAGCGAAUCCAUGGGUAACCGCGACGGCCACCAGUCCGGCGGGGUCGAGGGCCGCGUCGGAAGUCAACUUCCCUGCACAUGGUCAACGUCUUCAGCCAGAAUCACCACGCAGGAAACAAAAGUCAGACCGCUCCACGGGUGCAACGAGGGAACCCAACCGUAGGCUAUGGCCGACCCGACUCCGGCGAAGACGAAGAGCAAGGUGGAGAUGAACUCCGCGAUGUAGGACUUGAUAGAGGUGACGCUGAAGGAGUCAUCGAAGCGGCCGAAGGCGAUUCCAGCCAUGGCGAGGCUCGCUCUUGCUCCCGACCGGCGCUAAACUCAGUGAGGGAAGAAGAUGAAGCUCAG
rnacentral:lncRNA from 1 species